rnacentral:rRNA from 1 species
AUUGAACGCUGGCGGCAGGCUUAACACAUGCAAGUCGAGCGGGGGAAGGUAGCUUGCUACUGGACCUAGCGGCGGACGGGUGAGUAAUGCCUAGGAAUCUGCCUAUUAGUGGGGGACAACAUCUCGAAAGGGAUGCUAAUACCGCAUACGUCCUACGGGAGAAAGCAGGGGAUCUUCGGACCUUGCGCUAAUAGAUGAGCCUAAGUCGGAUUAGCUAGGUGGUGGGGUAAAGGCCUACCAAGGCGACGAUCUGUAGCGUGUCUGAGAGGAUGAUCCGCCACACUGGGACUGAGACACGGCCCAGACUCCCACGGGAGGCAGCAGUGGGGAAUAUUGGACAAUGGGGUGAACCCUGAUCCAGCCAUGCCGCGUGUGUGAAGAAGGCCUUAUGGUUGUAAAGCACUUUAAGCGAGGAGGAGGCUACUCUAGUUAAUACCUAGGGAUAGUGGACAUUACUCGCAGAAUAAGCACCGGCUAACUCUGUGCCAGCAGCCGCGGUAA